UCUGAUUCAUUAGAACAGGUCCAGGUUUAAACUGGUUAAGACCAUAGCUUUCAGAGAUCAAGGAGGAAGCCUAUGUUGCUGUUUAAACACAACAGGUUUCAUCAC
rnacentral:lncRNA from 1 species